CUUUGCAGGACAGGAUUGAGCAGACCUGGGCUACAGUAAUAUUUCAGCUACGGUGGCUGCUCUGGAGUCCGUUUCCGCAGGACGUGGCCUCAUCACUACAGCCGGUUCUUUGGGUGAACUCAACAUCUCAUCCAACUUCUCUAGAAGCUGGCUGACUGACCUUUGACCCUCUCUCCUCGGUUGAGUGUGAUCUCACCCUCGCCCUGUGGAUUGUGGGAGCU